GACAGAGGGUGCAAGCGUUGUUCGGAAUUACUGGGCGUAAAGGGCGCGUAGGCUGUAAAGUGUGUCUGGUGUGAAAGACCUCGGCUUAACCGAGGAAGUGCAUUAGAUCCUACUUUACUGGAGUGUGAGAGGGGAUGGCGGAAUUCCCGGUGUAGAGGUGAAAUUCGUAGAUACCGGGAGGAACACCUGAGGCGAAGGCGGCCAUCUGGAUCACAACUGACGCUGAGGCGCGAAAGCGUGGGUAGCAAACAGG
rnacentral:rRNA from 1 species